CAACGGACUUUGACUCCGUCACCCGUGGGUUCGAAUCCCGCCGGCCCAGCCA
rnacentral:tRNA from 1 species